AAAAACACUUCUCUGAAUCUCAAUAUCCUGACUUCUAAAAUAAGAAUAAACAGAUCUUGAAUGCAGGAUGUGAAGCAGGUUCACUGUGUACUACUUACCAACUUGUUUGAGUCCACUGAGAGCAAAAGUGCUUUAACAUAACACAUUACAUGAAGCGGGUUUUAUUACUUACAGAUUUAAAUCAAUGAUUUCAACUAACCAUCUGUAGAAGAGGCCAAGCUAUGAUGAAGACAUUCCUUAUAUUACGUGGACAAUGGCGAAGACAUAUCAAGUAACUUUCAAAAUUGUUUAUUUGGAAAAGAUUUUCUUUCUAAUUAAGUGAAUAGGUGGAAAGGAAAAUGACUUUAGCCAGAACUAUUUGAUGUCAUUGA